ACGAACGCUGGCGGCACGCUUAACACAUGCAAGUCGAACGAGAGAAGAGAAGCUUGCUUUUCUGAUCUAGUGGCGGACGGGUGAGUAACACGUGAGCAAUCUGCCUUUCAGAGGGGGAUACCGAUUGGAAACGAUCGUUAAUACCGCAUAAUAUAAUUGAACCGCAUGAUUUGAUUAUCAAAGAUUUAUCGCUGAAAGAUGAGCUCGCGUCUGAUUAGCUAGUUGGUAAGGUAACGGCUUACCAAGGCGACGAUCAGUAGCCGGACUGAGAGGUUGAUCUGCCACAUUGGGACUGAGACACGGCCCAGACUCCUACGGGAGGCAGCAGUGGGGAAUAUUGCACAAUGGAGGAAACUCUGAUGCAGCGAUGCCGCGUGAGGGAAGAAGGUUUUAGGAUUGUAAACCUCUGUCUUCAGGGACGAAAAAAGACGGUACCUGAGGAGGAAGCUCCGGCUAACUACGUGCCAGCAGCCGCGGUAAUACGUAGGGAGCGAGCGUUGUCCGGAAUUACUGGGUGUAAAGGGAGCGUAGGCGGGAUCGCAAGUCAGAUGUGAAAACUAUGGGCUUAACCCAUAAACUGCAUUUGAAACUGUGGUUCUUGAGUGAAGUAGAGGUAAGCGGAAUUCCUAGUGUAGCGGUGAAAUGCGUAGAUAUUAGGAGGAACAUCAGUGGCGAAGGCGGCUUACUGGGCUUUAACUGACGCUGAGGCUCGAAAGCGUGGGGAGCAAACAGGAUUAGAUACCCUGGUAGUCCACGCCGUAAACGAUGAUUACUAGGUGUGGGGGGACUGACCCCUUCCGUGCCGCAGCAAACGCAAUAAGUAAUCCACCUGGGGAGUACGACCGCAAGGUUGAAACCCAAAGGAAUUGACGGGGGCCCGCACAAGCAGUGGAGUAUGUGGAUUAAUUCGAAGCAACGCGAAGAACCUUACCAGGUCUUGACAUCGUAUGCAUAGCUCAGAGAUGAGUGAAAUCUCUUCGGAGACAUAUAGACAGGUGGUGCAUGGUUGUCGUCAGCUCGUGUCGUGAGAUGUUGGGUUAAGUCCCGCAACGAGCGCAACCCUUACUGUUAGUUGCUACGCAAGAGCACUCUAGCAGGACUGCCGUUGACAAAACGGAGGAAGGUGGGGAUGACGUCAAAUCAUCAUGCCCCUUAUGACCUGGGCCUCACACGUACUACAAUGGCUGUUAACAGAGGGAUGCAAAGCCGCGAGGUGGAGCGAACCCCUAAAAGCAGUCUUAGUUCGGAUUGUAGGCUGCAACCCGCCUACAUGAAGUCGGAAUUGCUAGUAAUCGCAGAUCAGCAUGCUGCGGUGAAUACGUUCCCGGGCCUUGUACACACCGCCCGUCACGCCAUGGGAGUCGGUAACACCCGAAGCCUGUAGUCUAACCGCAAGGAGGACGCAGUCGAAGGUGGGAUUGAUGACUGGGGUG
rnacentral:rRNA from 1 species